GGGGGCAUAGCUCAGGGGUAGAGCAUUCGACUGCAGAUCGAGAGGUCACCGGUUCAAAUUCGGUUGCUCCCU
rnacentral:tRNA from 1 species